rnacentral:rRNA from 1 species
ACGCUGGCGGCGCGUCUUAAGCAUGCAAGUCGAACGGCAAGAGGUAGCAAUACCUCCUAGAGUGGCGGACUGGUGAGUAACACGUGGGUGACAUACCCUUCAGAUGGGGAUAGCUAUUAGAAAUAGUAGAUAAUACCGAAUACGAGCACAGGGGUUAGAGAUCUGUGAGGAAAGGAGCUAAGGCUCCGCUGAAGGAAUGGCCUGCGGCCCAUUAGCUAGUUGGUGAGGUAAGAGCCCACCAAGGCGAUGAUGGGUAUCCGGCCUUAGAGGGUGAACGGACACAUUGGGACUGAGAUACGGCCCAGACUCCUACGGGAGGCAGCAGCUAAGAAUAUUCCGCAAUGGACGAAAGUCUGACGGAGCGACGCCGCGUGGAUGAAGAAGGCCGGAAGGUUGUAAAAUCCUUUUGAAACUGAAGAAUAAGCGUUGUAGGGAAUGACAGCGUGGUGACAGUAGGUUUUGAAUAAGCAACGGCUAAUUACGUGCCAGCCGCCGC